GGCUCAGGACGAACGCUGGCGGCGUGCUUAACACAUGCAAGUCGAACGAUGAAGCCCUUCGGGGUGGAUUAGUGGCGAACGGGUGAGUAACACGUGGGCAAUCUGCCCUUCACUCUGGGACAAGCCCUGGAAACGGGGUCUAAUACCGGAUAACACCGGCUUCCGCAUGGGAGCUGGUUAAAAGCUCCGGCGGUGAAGGAUGAGCCCGCGGCCUAUCAGCUUGUUGGUGGGGUAAUGGCCUACCAAGGCGACGACGGGUAGCCGGCCUGAGAGGGCGACCGGCCACACUGGGACUGAGACACGGCCCAGACUCCUACGGGAGGCAGCAGUGGGGAAUAUUGCACAAUGGGCGAAAGCCUGAUGCAGCGACGCCGCGUGAGGGAUGACGGCCUUCGGGUUGUAAACCUCUUUCAGCAG
rnacentral:rRNA from 1 species